AGAGCAUAAAACAAAAGCAAUUGUAGAAGGAGGUGCAUACACAACACCAUUAGUUAGGAAAAAGCAAAUAUUGCCAGAAAUAUGUCAUAGUCAGCGGGCUAAGGAAGAACUAUUGUAGCUCUGGAUAAUACUUGAAUCAAGGCUGCAGGAUCCAGGAAUAAAUACAUUUCCAGUGUUCCACUGACUUGUUUUUCUGUGGCUUAAUGGAAAGGGGAGGUAAACACAUUUUUCUGCCAUCCACUGGUGAUUAUUCUACUUUCCCAGGAAGCCAGGAAGGCAGGGGUGUUAUAUGAAUCAGCCACACUGAUGGAGAUCUCCAAGGAAAUAGCAGCCUAUGUAGGACAUCUCUCUGCUAACUGGAUCUAAUUCCAUUCUCUAUUUUAAUACAGGACCUCCAGCAAUCUGAUGCAAGGAAAGCAAAUAAAUUCAUCCUCAGUUCAUUGCCAAGCAUCUUUUCAGAGGAGUCGUGUGAAAUUUAGGAAAAUCAAUACAUCAUCUCAGGAAAAUCUCCACCUUGGUAUAUUGUACAAAAGAGAAAGAGAUACAGAAAUUUACCCAUUGACCUUGCACUAGUGCAUAACUAGUGGAGACCUGCGCUUUUCCUGUUAUUUGAACUGUCUUUAGAGAUCAGAAGAUCAUGUGUCUGAGGUCACUGCUAAGCACCUGUUCAGAGGAACCAUGUGCAAUUUAUAGUAAUCCAUACAUCAUCUCAGGAAGUUCUCCACCUCGAUAUCACAUACUGUAUAAAAGAGAGAAUCACCCAGUAAUUUACAUUGUGACUUUGCAUUAAUAGAUACUGAGAGACUUAUGAUUACCUUGUUAUUUGCAUUGUCAUUAGAAAUCAGGAGAUCAGGUGUCUGUGGUAUGUACUGGAUAUUUAUGAAACUGUAUUACUUUAAUUCAGCUAUUCCUGGUAGUAGUAAACACCCUACAACUC